rnacentral:rRNA from 1 species
GACGGAGGGUGCAAGCGUUGUUCGGAAUUACUGGGCGUAAAGCGUACGUAGGUGGCGGAUUAAGUCGAAUGUUAAAGCCUGAGGCUCAACCUCAGAGAUGCAUUCGAUACUGGUCUGCUAGAGGGUGAUAGAGGAAAGUGGAAUUCCGAGUGUAGCGGUGAAAUGCGUAGAUAUUCGGAGGAACAUCAGUAGCGAAGGCGACUUUCUGGGUCACACCUGACACUGAGGUACGAAAGCGUGGGGAGCAAACGGG